AACGAACGCUGGCAGCAGGCCUAACACAUGCAAGUCGAGCGAGGACUUCGGUCCUAGCGGCGGACGGGUGAGUAACGCGUGGGAACGUGCCCUUUGCUACGGAAUAGCCCCGGGAAACUGGGAGUAAUACCGUAUGUGCCCUUUGGGGGAACGAUUUAUCGGCAAAGGAUCGGCCCGCGUUGGAUUAGGUAGUUGGUGGGGUAAUGGCCUACCAAGCCGACGAUCCAUAGCUGGUUUGAGAGGAUGAUCAGCCACACUGGGACUGAGACACGGCCCAGACUCCUACGGGAGGCAGCAGUGGGGAAUCUUAGACAAUGGGCGCAAGCCUGAUCUAGCCAUGCCGCGUGAGCGAUGAAGGCCUUAGGGUUGUAAAGCUCUUUCAGUGGGGAAGAUAAUGACGGUACCCACAGAAGAAGCCCCGGCUAACUCCGUGCCAGCCGCCGCGGUAAGAC
rnacentral:rRNA from 1 species